UACGGGGGGGCAAGCGUUGUUCGGAAUUACUGGGCGUAAAGGGCUCGUAGGCGGCCAACUAAGUCAGACGUGAAAUCCCCAGGCUCAACCUGGGAACUGCGUCUGAUACUGGAUGGCUUGAAUUCGGGAGAGGGAUGCAGAAUUCCAGGUGUAGCGGUGAAAUGCGUAGAUAUACUGGAGGAAUACCGGUGGCGAAGGCGGCAUCCUGGACCGACAUUGACGCUGAUGAGCGAAAGCUAGGGGAGCAAACGGG
rnacentral:rRNA from 1 species